AAACUGUCAACACGUUUCGCGACUUUCUAAUUGAGCGAUCUAAAAAAAGAAAGUUGACAAAGUUCAUUGGAUCUAUAUUUUUUAAAUACGUAAAACUGUACACCGGAGUCCGGAGUGACUGUGAUAAAUGUGAGAAUUAUUGGAAUUAGUAGUUAACUUUGAUUUUAAGCUGACAUAAGUAAGUAGUCGGGCCAUGUGGUUCUGUUGACAGAAAAAGUAGAUAAGCGAGAGUCACUUGUCGACGUGUGACGUAUAUGUAUAGUAUUCAUAGUUUUUCCCGAAUACACUCGCAAACUAAUCGAGUCCCAACUCGAAAUGAACUAUUUUAUCUCUCGAAAGAAAAGAAUUUUCUUUCGGCUAAUAUCAAAUUGCCUUAUCAUGUCAAACAGAAUUAAAUGAUUAUAUUUAUUAAGCUUAUUAAUCCAGUUAGCGCAGCAAAACUGUAUCAGCAAAUAGAAAAUAAUUCCGACUAUACAGAUAGAUAGUCACGACAACGAAAUUAAAUUUCGCUAGACACGAUAAAAGGAAAAUCGAGCAGAAAUUACAAUAAAAUUUUAUGCGUCCGAGUUCGUUCCACCGCAUGUGAUUGCAGUUGCAUAUAUGCAAAUCACGUAAUCGGAAGUUGCUCGAGCGAUUUGUUGAAUCUGUCGAUAACGAAAGAAUGAGAAACUUUAAAAAUUAUUUACGAACCAAGGUCAGUCAUUUCACGAAUUCAGACGGUACAGUUAAUGAUUUUUCUUCGAUAACAAAUGCUAUUAUUUUUAAUGUUACACUUUUUUCUGAUGUGCUAUUUAAAAGGCUAUUAGAUGUUACAGGUUGUCAAUGAUUUCGCAACUAAAUAUACAAGAAGUACUUGAAUUUGAUCAUUAAUAAUGCGUUACAAUUCAUAUAAAAAAUUUCAAGGAAAUCCAGUUGAUAAAAGAAAGCAAUGUCACAAGGAAUUUCAUUUAUGAAAAAAAAAAUCAAUGGCAUUCGAUCUAGAAUCAAAUUUGCAUUCAUUCAGAGCCUUAUUAACAUACAAUGUACUACUGUAAUAUUUCAAUAGCUAAUUUAUUUAAAUAUCUAAAGUAUAAUUCGAAAAAAUAAAAUUUGGAUAUU